rnacentral:lncRNA from 1 species
GGUGGGGGUCUCUAUGUGCCUUUCCUUUGCAGGUUGACAGUCUGCCACACCGGGGCAGAAAAGCUGACAGUGCAAGAAAAAGUGCCAUGUCUGUCUUGUAGGCCCACUGCCUCAGACACAGCAUUUAGUAAGGGAAGUCCACACCUGGUCAUCGUGGAGGCCUCUAUGGCCACAGCCACGUAGCAUUAGAGGAGAGCCACAUUUCUACACCAGCUCUAAAUGAUGCUGCCAUUGCAUCCACGCUAUUCAGACUGUAUAGAUUCGGCCUGUUUCACCUUGAUACCACUCCCUUCCUGGGACAGGGUCCUUAGACAUGAAUGGCUGGCUUUUUGCUUAUGGGAGUGGAAUGAAUUUGUGCCCUUUUACAAACAUCUCUAGGGAGCUCCUGCCUGAAGCUUGCAGACUCCCAAUGAAUCAGCAGAGCCCUGUUUGCCAGCUCCAUCGCCAGUGUAGAUGUGGCAUUAACGUGGAAAACCUUGUUAUCCUGCAGAGUAAAGUUGAGGCGGGCGCAGCUGUGGUAUCACCAACAUUUUGGCAAUGCAGUUCAGGUUUGCCCCAUUGCAGGCAUGGCAAAGGAGGGCCAGGAGUGGUGAUUUGGAACAUUGGCAUCUGGAAAGGGAAGCUUGGAGGAAGCGGAGGCCUGGGUUUCUUCCUUGUAAGUCUUCAUCUGCCUCUGGCUACAGCCCUUCCUCCAGAGUUAAGAAGGGGCCCCUGCUGCAAACUUGAAGUUGCUACAUCAGGUUCUAGUCCUGCUCAACCACACCUGUCUUAAGUCCACUUAUCACCGGCCUAGCUAGCUGUAGCGCCGUCUGUGGACCUGGAAACCGAGCUGCUGCCUACCUCGGGAGACAGCUGCUGGGCUGCCGCCUGCCUAGAGCUACAGCAAGUCUGCGUCUGGGGUGGGAGUUGGUAUAAUUUCCGAGUAUGGGAGCUUCCCACCUCAAGUGGUAGGGAGUUGUGGUUAACUGUAACUUCUUCAGUGCUUACUCUCAACUCCAGAGAUUAAGUGUUUUAACAUGGGAAAGAGAGGAGAAAUCUCAGGUCAAUCAGGGUUCUGCCUGUCGGCUUUUCACUGAAACUUUGAACCAUGGUUUUUUUCCAUCUGUCAGUUUUUAUAUUUGCCUCCUCAUCCAUUCCCACCUUCCCCUUCCUCCUUGUGUCUUUUGGUUUCCAUUUCCACUUCAUUUCUCUCUUA